AGAGUUUGAUCCUGGCUCAGGAUGAACGCUAGCGGCAGGCUUAAUACAUGCAAGUCGAGGGGCAGCACGGUAGCAAUACUGGUGGCGACCGGCAAACGGGUGCGGAACACGUACAGAACCUUCCUUUAAGUGGGGGAUAGCCCAGAGAAAUUUGGAUUAAUACCCCGUAACAUUGAUGAGUGGCAUCACUUAACAAUUAUAGAUUUAUCGCUUAGAGAUGGCUGUGCGGCUGAUUAGGUAGUUGGUGCGGGUAACGGCCCACCAAGCCUUCGAUCAGUAACUGGUGUGAGAGCACGACCAGUCACACGGGCACUGAGACACGGGCCCGACUCCUACGGGAGGCAGCAGUAAGGAAUAUUGGUCAAUGGACGCAAGUCUGAACCAGCCAUGCCGCGUGAAGGAUGAAGGUCCUCUGGAUUGUAAACUUCUUUUAUCUGGGACGAAACCCUCGUUUUCUAACGGGAUUGACGGUACCAGAGGAAUAAGCACCGGCUAACUCCGUGCCAGCAGCCGCGGUAAUACGGAGGGUGCAAGCGUUAUCCGGAUUCACUGGGUUUAAAGGGUGCGUAGGUGGGUCUGUAAGUCAGUGGUGAAAUCUCCGGGCUUAACCUGGAAACUGCCAUUGAUACUAUAGGUCUUGAAUUUUCUGGAGGUAAGCGGAAUAUGUCAUGUAGCGGUGAAAUGCUUAGAUAUGACAUAGAACACCAAUUGCGAAGGCAGCUUACUACGGGAAUAUUGACACUGAGGCACGAAAGCGUGGGGAUCAAACAGGAUUAGAUACCCUGGUAGUCG
rnacentral:rRNA from 1 species